ACAAAUGUCAUGCAUGUAGCUCUCUCAUGCACUCACUCACUCCCUCAAGACAGCCAUAGAGGAAGGUUACUUCAGUCAUAAUUGUGCGAAAAAACUUGGAUGCUAUUGAUACUUAUGAUGUCAGGCCCAAGAAGAGAAAACUAGAUCUAGAUGUCGAAUGGCAGGGCCGCUCAUGAAAGACAAAGGCAGAAGGCAAAAUAAUAGAUAUUGGAUGCUUUUCCGAGAUGGCCUCAAGGAAGAGAAACACUGUUGCCUCAUCCAGUGUUGGACAUCCAUAAAAGUAAUCUUCGGGCGAAAGACAAGAAUUACUGAUAGAAGAACAAGGAAUAGCAGAGCUGGUUUCAGACAUGCCAGAUGAUCAAACAUGCAAGAGGCUCUUGGCGACAGGAGAUGGACAUCAGCAGGCCCAUAUCCACCACACCUUGACCUUCCUGCGGCCUUGGCAAUUCCCUUACCACACUGGAGUUGCAAUAACCAAGCAAGAAACAUGUUACUAUUCACACAGACUACUACUAUUCUUUUUCUGGAACUUUAUUUUCAAAAAACAACCAGUGGACUUCUGAACUUUACAAAUAACUAAUAAAUUCACACAUAAACAAAUGUCAACAUGGAUUUUCAUAAGACACCUAGACCUACCUAUAAAGCUAUGGCUGCAGUAAGCUCUAAUAACCUUGUAAAUUAUUUAUACACAUUUUUAAAGGCCAAUCAUAUGAUUAUGGCUUGCUUCCUAUAAGAAAACACACAACACAUUAUUCUUAUACAAUUCCUGUGUUUCUUACAUAUGUGACAAUAUAUACUACCACCGUGUAGUUCUGUAUUUUGUGUAUGAAUGUGGCCUACUUCAUAUAAGACAACACUUAUCUUAGUUACAUGUUUCCGCAGUACCCAUAUAAGAAUACUUUUGAUUCAUAGAGACCCUUUCGAAAGUACCAUGCGUGGCACAGUUAUACAGGUGUAAUAGGAUGGGCUAUUGUGCUAGAAAAUGUUUAAUAGGUUACUGGAAUUAUAUUGAAUAUUGUUUAUUAAUGCUAUCAAAUAUCCCUGCAUUAGAGUGGGAAAGAGAGUUAUGUUCAGAAGUGAUGCAUUUUUAUAAUGAAUUAGUCCUAUGAAAUAUCCAUUGAAAUUUUGCAUGCUGAGCGCUAUUGCAAAUGCACCUCGUACCUCGUAUCAUUUGCUCCCUCAUUCUCUCGGGUCCUCGGCCCUAGAGCAUCUAUUCCAGCCCUCGCUGCUCGACUUGGACCCCGGGCAGCUCGAGUCUGGCCCUGGGGUACACGCACCUUGUGUCCUUGUCCUCCUCUCAUCCGUGGACCAUGUCCUCUCCCUCGGCUAGUCUGAUGACGAGCAACACAUUGUAUACGUUGAUUGUCAAUAUGGGAAGCUCCUAAUAGUCUUGUGGUUUUUAGAUUUCAUAUGUUAAUGGUAAGUAAUAAAAAGUAAUUACUGAAGUUAUGAAUGGGUACUGCUAAUCCUGUAGCUUUAUUAGUAUAACAUUUUCAUUAGCUACAUAUCCACUAUAUGGAGUACUAUAAAGUAUAGCUAGCUAUAGCCAGAGCCUUUUAUUUCCUGUUUCAAAAUACAUGGCUCAAUAUAUGGCUCUAGCUGUAACUAACAAACUAGCCUAGCUCGACUAACAACCGGCGAUGUUGUCAUAAAAUACAUCAGUUUGUAAAUCUGUGUUCAUAAAAACACUGUCUAUAGCUUGUAUACCUUGCCUCUUCAGCUGACAUGUUGAAAAUAUUUACACAAUCCAUGCGACAACUCUAUUAGCUAACUACUGUCUGCCUCUCGUCAAUGUGCAUUUUGCUAACUGUCACUCAAAUGACAAGGGGCUGAAGCUCAUUGGCUAGGGGGCUGGCCCCCGUGUGCCAAGCUUGCAUUAUGUCACCAAAAUCUGUGUAGAUUCCCUGAAUAGGGACAAUGGUGCCACACAGCUUCCAGAAAACAGUCGCUUUCAAACACAUUGACACAUCCAGCCCAAAGUGGGAGUUUAAAAAAAUACUGACAAAUUCGCCAAAGUUCCGGAACGUCUCUUUAAUCGUCUCUGUUACUAACACUGGCUCCAGAAAAGUUUAUUUAGAUGUAUCAUCAUCCUUUGGUAAUAAUGCUAAAUGGUAAUUAUUGCUAACUGGUAAUUAUUGAAUGAGUGGUUUGGCCUUGAACUGCACACAAUACAAUGAACUGAAACUGAGCAUGUUCACUUUACGUGUGUUCACACCAUUGAACCGAUACAGUGAGGCUCGAGGAUCUCAUUUGAAGAAUCCAUCAUAUGGAGCAUAACUGAUCCACGUAACCCAUUUACAUGCCAGCAUCGCUUGGGACAUGGCCGUUAAGUGUUUCGGCAGAUAAGAUGGUGGUGGUGGUGGUGGGUAAUCCUGCCUGCUUGGGGUCUGUGCUAUCCCUGAGUGGGCCGGGUGGGACUCUCCCCAGCUCCCAGCCUCCGUCUAAUGGCUUUGGAGGCUGAUUUACUUGAUGUAAUAAGGCCAGGAGGUCAAACGACUAUCAGGCAGCCUUUGGGGUUGCUCCUCCAGCCAGGCAUCAACACACAGCUGUUCCAGGACGAUUUACAGCCCGGACAGUGACAGGGCCCAAUCAGCGCGCCGUAAAUGUCGGCCCAGGGAGAUUGAGCAGUAACUAAAGCAGUGACAGGACACUGGGAGACAGAUCAAUGGCUGAGGGGCUACUGAGAACUAACUGUAAGCCACAGCACCUUCUUACCGGACCCAGGAAAAGGAAACAUGAGGACCAUAAAUGGGUGUUAUAUGUUCUUGGAUAAGUUUUUGAUAUCUGACACAUUAUUGGAUUUCUGACUUCCUCUUCUUAACAUUUACUGUAUGUAAUUUCCCCUCCUCAAUGCUCAAGUACUACUAGAGUAUAGUACUUCUAGUUACAAAGAAAUCAUUAUUAUGUUUUCUUUUCUGCAGUUAAAAUCAGUUCUGUGUGGCGCCAGGAGAAUUCAACAUUUACUGACACGGGUCAUUCCACUAAAUGAGUGCCUUUUGAUAUUUUAAGUAGAAAUGGAGAAUUUAAUAAAUUAGAUUUUGAAUAAGAAAAAAGGCUUUCUAAAGUGCCAAAAUUCUUCGUUUUGACAUGUCCCUCCGCUAACCCUGUGUCACUUCUAGGAAGAUUUUAACCCACUUCAUCCCCAAACUUCUCUAGGUUUCACCAUCAUUGUCAACCCCUAGUUAUUUUGUUGAUUUGACAAAGUAAUUUCUGAAGAUUCUUUUUUUAUAUAAUUUCAUUAGUGAUUCAUUUACGUCUGUCCCUAAUUUUAAGGUCAACCCUGUUACGUGAACUGAACUCACUUUUUAAUAUUGAGAAACUAUUCCUUUUUAAAUAUUAUUUUCAAAAGAAACAUUUGAUCUAAUAGUCAAUUCAUAUAGUAAAAGCACGUCAAUCCUGUUACCCAUAGGCUAGAAAUGUUUUAACAAUUAAAUGUUUUUGUGAAGCUUGUAUUCAAUUGCCACUCCCUGUUGCACAAAACAACCUUCUAUCCCCCUGUCACAAGGGGAUUUAUGUCUGAUUUAAGAAGAAAUCGCCAACCCUGUUACUUUAUUUGGAACUAAAUAGGCAAUUUCUAUAGUCCUUUUUAGAUACCAUGAAGAUUUUUGUUAGUUAUAUUUGAGUUUUAUUGUAAUUCUGACAUCGUUAUACCAACACAGGACAUACUAUGGUAUUG